rnacentral:rRNA from 1 species
UACAGAGGGUGCAAGCGUUGUUCGGAAUCAUUGGGCGUAAAGCGCACGUAGGCGGCUCAUUAAGUCUGGUGUGAAAUCCCUGGGCUCAACCCAGGACGUGCACUAGAAACUGGCGAGCUUGAAUCUCGGAGAGGGUGGUGGAAUUCCCAGUGUAGAGGUGAAAUUCGUAGAUAUUGGGAGGAACACCGGUGGCGAAGGCGACCACCUGGACGCAGAUUGACGCUGAGGUGCGAAAGCGUGGGGAUCAAACAGG